GCUGGGGGUGGGAGUGGUCCACGCCUGUAAUCCCAGUAUCUUGGAGGCUGAGGCAGGAGGAUUACAAGUUCAAAGCCAGCUUCAGCAACUCAGUGAGUCCCCCCCCAAGCAACUUAGAGAAACCCUGUCUCAA
rnacentral:sRNA from 1 species